rnacentral:lncRNA from 1 species
AGUUUGUGGAAGGCCAGUCUGGAAAUGUCUGCAGGUGGAUACAUGCAUGAAUCUGGUGACCAAAACAAAGGCUUUUUAAAAAGCAUGGCUUCUAAGUGGCCCCGAGAUUAGCUCUUGUUUGCAGUCCAAUAUGGAGGCUUUGAGAAUGAGAGCGACCUUCUGGUCAGCAAAUGCUCUGUCAAUCUAGUCCAUCCAUCUUCAAUCUCCCUUAUUGGAUUUCAGAUUAUUCGCACUUGUGAUAAUUGAAGUCAUUGCACUUGGUGUGUUCUUUUCAUUAGCUUUUCCUUAUGUUUUCAUUAGAUUUUCCUUAUCAUCGGCUAUAUUGUCAAUUCUGCAACAUAAUCAAAUACAGUUACUGGAUUAUACUCUUUUUU